rnacentral:lncRNA from 1 species
AUGUUCAAGCCGAUUUUAGAAAAUGAAGAGGAACCAGAGUUCAAAUUGCCAACAUUUGCUGGAUCAUUGAAAAAAGAAGUUGAAAGAGACACAUGUACCCCAAUGUUCAUCGCAGCACUGUUUAUAAUAGCCAGGACAUGGAAACAACCUAGAUGUCCAUCAGCAGAUGAAUGGAUAAGAAAGCUGUGGUACAUAUACACAAUGGAGUAUUACUCAGCCGUUAAAAAGAAUUCAUUUGAAUCAGUUCUGAUGAGAUGGAUGAAACUGGAGCCGAUUAUACAGAGUGAAGUAAGCCAGAAAGAAAAACACCAAUACAGUAUACUAACACAUAUAUAUGGAAUUUAGGAAGAUGGCAAUGACGACCCUGUAUGCAAGACAGGAAAAAAGACACAGAUGUGUAUAACGGACUUUUGGACACAGAGGGAGAGGGAGAGGGUGGGAUGAUUUGGGAGAAUGACAUUCUAACAUGUAUACUAUCAUGUGAAUUGAAUCGCCAGUCUAUGUCUGACGCAGGAUGCAGCAUGCUUGGGGCUGGUGCAUGGGGAUGACCCAGAAAGAUGUUAUGGGGAGGGAGGUGGGAGGGGGGUUCAUGUUUGGGAAUGCAUGUAAGAAUUAAAGAUUUUAAAAUUUAAAAAAUAAAAAACUAAAAAAAAAUAAAAUAAAAAUUAAAAAAAAAAAAAAAAAGAAAGUUCGAUUUAUACUCUAGGGGUGGGGGAACUUUUGAUAUCUCUGAUUGAGAUUGGAUAUUGUAUCAAGGACUUGGUUUGGAGCCAGAAAUGUAUUAGUCAAAUUAUC